AGAUAACCGCUGAAAGCAUCUAAGCGGGAAACUCGUUUCAAGAUGAGAUCUGCCGGGGCCUUGAGCCCCCUGAAGAGUCGUUCAAGACCAGGACGUUGAUAGGCUGGGUGUGGAAGCGCAGUAAUGCGUUAAGCUAACCAGUACUAAUUGCUCGUGAGGCUUGACCCUAUAACUUUG
rnacentral:rRNA from 1 species